GGCAAGUUGGCCGAGUGGUCUAAGGCGCAGUGUUAAGGAUUUCCUUAAGCGAUUAGGGUUCUUUCCGAAACCGAGUUUCCCCGCUGUCUUCGGGCGUGGGUUCGAAUCCCACACUUGUCA